rnacentral:rRNA from 1 species
GUGUCAGCCGCCGCGGUAAUACAGAGGUCUCAACCGUUGUUCGGAUUCAUUGGGCGUAAAGGGUGCGUAGGCGGCGGGGUAAGUCAGGUGUGAAAUCUCGGGGCUCAACCCCGAAACUGCACUUGAUACUGCCUUGCUCGAGUACUGGAGAGGAGACUGGAAUUUACGGUGUAGCAGUGAAAUGCGUAGAUAUCGUAAGGAAGACCAGUGGCGAAGGCGAGUCUCUGGACAGUUACUGACGCUGAGGCACGAAGGCCAGGGGAGCAAACGGGAUUAGAUACCCCGGUAGUCCUGGCAGUAAACGGUGCACGUUUGGUGUGGGCGGAUUCGACCCCGCCCGUGCCGGAGCUAACGCGUUAAACGUGCCGCCUGGGAAGUACGGUCGCAAGAUUAAA